UCAGACAAGAGGAAGAGAGAACUCAGCAGUCUGGCUCCAGUUGGGGGAUUGAAGGGUGGAGGGGGGGCUCAGGCCUCAGACAUGGUUGUCUCUCCUUCUGGGUGGAUGCUCAUUUCUUCCCUUCCCUGCAGGGCACUCCGUUAUCCACCAGCCUGGCUCUGCAUCCACCUCCAAUAAUGGUGCCUCCCAAGUUGGCAUCUUUAACUGGAUGGCAAUAUACAUUUCAGGUUGGCUCUUUGCAGCAUUCCAGUGAUGCCUGGGAAACGCCUGGCACUGCCUGACCACAGCUGCCUCCCUCCAGGAUUUCUUUCUGUUAAUCAGGAGCUUUUGCACUUGGAAGAAGUUGCUCCUGUUCGUCUUGGGGAUGCUGUUCUUUGUGGCUUCGCUGGCUUAUGGUGAGCCUUGUGGAGUGCCCAGGUCGGCCACUCCAGAUGGGGGCGAAGGACAGGGGUUUGGGGACAGGGCUGUCAAAAUGUGGAAGAGAGAUCGUUGAAGGGGAACCUUUAGGGAGCCAAAGGGACAAAAGCCCUGGCAAAAGGGACCCAGGCCACAUGUGGGCAAGCUCUCCUGCCUCAAAUGUCAGAGUUCCAUCCU